rnacentral:rRNA from 1 species
AAACUGGGAUUAGAUACCCCACUAUGCCUAGCCAUAAACUUCGGAUUUUUCCCGCCAGAGUAUUACGAGCCACAGCUUAAAACUCAAAGGACUUGGCGGUGCCUUACACCCACCUAGAGGAGCCUGUUCUAUAAUUGAUACUCCCCAAUCUACCUCACCACCUCUUGCAAACACAGCCUAUAUACCACCGUCAUAAGCCCACCUCACUAAAGAAUAAUAGUAGGCUAAACAAUCUUAAAUUAAAAAGUCAGGUCAAGGUGUAGCAAAUGAGUUGGAAAGAAAUGGGCUACAUUUUCUUCUAAGAAAAAUACGAAAUAUUCUAUGAAAAAGAGUAUGAAGGAGGAUUUAGUAGUAAAAAGAAAAUAGAGUGUUCUUUUUAAAUUGGCAAUGAAGGCGAGCACACACCGCCCGUCACCCUCUUAAAUAUUAAUGAACAAAAAUAUAAUUAUUAUACCCAAAAUAGAGGAAAGUCGUAACAUGGUAAGCGCACA